rnacentral:rRNA from 1 species
GGAGGAAGGCUCUUGGGUUGUAAACCUYUUUUCUCAGGGAAGAAAAAAAWGACGGUACCUGAGGAAUAAGCAUCGGCUAACUCCGUGCCAGCAGCCGCGGUAAUACGGAGGAUGCAAGCGUUAUCCGGAAUGAUUGGGCGUAAAGGGUCCGCAGGUGGCUGUGUAAGUCUGCUGUUAAAGAAUCUAGCUCAACUAGAUAAAAGCAGUGGAAACUACAUAGCUAGAGUGCGUUCGGGGUAGAGGGAAUUCCUGGUGUAGCGGUGAAAUGCGUAAAUAUCAGGAAGAACACCAGUGGCGAAGGCGCUCUACUAGGCCGCAA